AGAGUUUGAUCCUGGCUCAGAAUCAACGCUGGCGGCGUGCCUAACACAUGCAAGUCGAACGCGAAAGGGACUUCGGUCCUGAGUAGAGUGGCGAACGGGUGAGUAACGCGUGGGUGACCUACCCUCGAGUGGGGGAUAACGUUCCGAAAGGGACGCUAAUACCGCAUGACAUUCCGGGUUUGAAGACCUGGAAAUCAAAGCCGGGGACCGCAAGGCCUGGCGCUAGAGGAGGGGCCCGCGUCUGAUUAGCUAGUUGGCGGGGUAACGGCCCACCAAGGCGACGAUCAGUAGCCGGCCUGAGAGGGCGGACGGCCACACUGGGACUGAGACACGGCCCAGACUCCUACGGGAGGCAGCAGUGGGGAAUUGUUCGCAAUGGGCGCAAGCCUGACGACGCAACGCCGCGUGGAGGAUGAAGGUCUUCGGAUCGUAAACUCCUGUUGAUCGGGACGAAAAGCUUCGACCUAAUACGUUGAAGACUGACGGUACCGGUUGAGGAAGCCACGGCUAACUCUGUGCCAGCAGCGGCGGUAAUAC
rnacentral:rRNA from 1 species